rnacentral:rRNA from 1 species
AGAGUUUGAUCAUGGCUCAGAUUGAACGCUGGCGGCAUGCCUUACACAUGCAAGUCGAACGGCAGCACGGGAGCAAUCCUGGUGGCGAGUGGCGAACGGGUGAGUAAUACAUCGGAACGUGCCCAGUUGUGGGGGAUAGCCCGGCGAAAGCCGGAUUAAUACCGCAUACGACCUGAGGGUGAAAGCGGGGGACCUGCAAGGGCCUCGCGCAGUUGGAGCGGCCGAUGUCAGAUUAGCUAGUUGGUGGGGUAAAGGCCUACCAAGGCGACGAUCUGUAGCUGGUCUGAGAGGACGACCAGCCACACUGGGACUGAGACACGGCCCAGACUCCUACGGGAGGCAGCAGUGGGGAAUUUUGGACAAUGGGCGCAAGCCUGAUCCAGCCAUGCCGCGUGCGGGAAGAAGGCCUUCGGGUUGUAAACCGCUUUUGUCAGGGAAGAAACGCGCCGAGUUAAUACCUUGGUGUAAUGACGGUACCUGAAGAAUAAGCACCGGCUAACUACGUGCCAGCAGCCGCGGUAAUACGUAGGGUGCGAGCGUUAAUCGGAAUUACUGGGCGUAAAGCGUGCGCAGGCGGCCAUGCAAGACAGAUGUGAAAUCCCCGGGCUCAACCUGGGAACUGCAUUUGUGACUGCAUGGCUGGAGUGCGGCAGAGGGGGAUGGAAUUCCGCGUGUAGCAGUGAAAUGCGUAGAUAUGCGGAGGAACACCGAUGGCGAAGGC